rnacentral:rRNA from 1 species
AGUGUAGGCGGCUAUUUAAGUCGGAUGUGAAAGCCCCGGGCUCAACCUGGGAAUUGCAUUCGAAACUGGGUAGCUAGAGUUUGGUAGAGGUAAGUGGAAUUCCAGGUGUAGCGGUGAAAUGCGUAGAUAUCUGGAGGAACAUCAGUGGCGAAGGCGGCUUACUGGACCAAAACUGACGCUGAGGCUCAAAAGCGUGGGGAGCAAACAGGAUUAGAUACCCUGGUAGUCC